CUCUGGCUUAUCCCCCAGCUCCCGCAGAGCAGUGGGGAAACUGGUUACUGUCCUGGAGCACUCUCUGGAAGCCAAGAUGAUGCGUUUGCUUUUACAUUAUGAUCUGUAAUAAACAUGCAUCACGCAUGAGCUGCUCUGCUGCUGAGAUGAGAAGUGACAGGCAUUAUUCUGCUGUUUUUUUAUAGCUGAAAUGUCUUGAACUUUUGGGCAGAGCUCAUAAAGCUGUCAGCACACAAUGUGGCAGUGGUGUUCCCGCAUAGUUGGACGCUCUUGCUGGGCAGGAGUUGAGCAAACACACUCAAUUUCCUUGCGCCCGCAGUAGUAUUGGCACUGGUAUGGAGGAGGAGAAAGGUAAAAGGAUUUCUUAUAGCUCCAGCAUGUCUCUGCAUGGGAAGGGAGCUCUGUGGCAUGGAAUGUUUCAGUACAGCUCCUCAUUGCUAGCAAACAUGUCUGACAGACUUCCAUCCUCAUGCAACAUUUAGUGUGGGUCACAAUGUUUGUUCCAUAGCAUGCACAAUUCCUUGUUCCUCAUUUUUGUCUAUUGAUGUUGGAUGUGUCCUUUUGCAUGGUACCUCCUUAAAGCACUGGAGCAGUGUUGCCAGCACCUGCCUAGGGGAGGUCACAUCCCUGUGCUGUGGUUUGUCAGGAAUGAGUACAUCAGUGCAGCAGUGCCUUGUUGGAGGAACGUCAGCUGGGGUGAUGCUGCAGGGCCUGUGUAGGGAGUGGAGAAUACCUGGCUUCAAGGAGGGUGUGGGUCCCAUGGCCAUACAGGCAGCCUAUGCUGAGGUCUGCUGGGCAGAGCGUGCUCAUGGGCUGCCCUUCUGCUUCUUGCAGCCUGGUACAGGAGGAGGAUGAGCAGAAACGUCUUCUGGUCACAGUCUGGAACCGAGAAAGAGAUUGCAGGCAGAGCAAACUGAUUGGGUGCAUGAGCUUUGGUGUGAAGUCCCUCCUGACCCUGGACAAGGUACCUCCAUCUGGAGCACUGCGUGCAGGAUUGGGUUGAGCAGGUGGAAGUAGUGCACCCUCAGGGCAGGAGCAGGGAGCAGCUGGCUCUUAGCACCAAUGGGCAGAGGGACUUUGAAGGUGUCCAGGGACCUGCCAGUACAGAGCCACUGUGAGCUGGCAUUGUGGUGCCACUGCUAGAGCCAGGGGUG
rnacentral:lncRNA from 1 species